rnacentral:rRNA from 1 species
UGGGGAAUAUUGCACAAUGGGGGAAACCCUGAUGCAGCGACGCCGCGUGAACGAAGAAGGUAUUCGUAUCGUAAAGUUCUGUACUAUGGGAAGAUAAUGACAGUACCAUAGAAGAAAGCUCCGGCUAAAUACGUGCCAGCAGCCGCGGUAAUACGUAUGGAGCGAGCGUUGUCCGGAAUUAUUGGGCGUAAAGGGUACGCAGGCGGUUUAAUAAGUCGAAUGUUAAAGAUCGGGGCUCAACCCCGCAAAGCAUUGGAAACUGAUAAACUUGAGUAGUGGAGAGGAAAGUGGAAUUCCUAGUGUAGUGGUGAAAUACGUAGAUAUUAGGAGGAAUACCAGUAGCGAAGGCGACUUUCUGGACACAAACUGACGCUGAGGUACGAAAGCGUGGGGAGCAAACAGG